rnacentral:lncRNA from 1 species
UUUAAUAAAAUUUGUACAGUACUCAUUCUCGAGGGCCCACUUUGAGGGCAUCCUUUCUUCUUCUACUUCCAAACUACGCCUCCUCACCUUCUGAGUUGUUUUCUUCCCCUCUGCAUUGCAUAAUUCAUUAUGCUUUGCAGAGCCCAUUUGCUCAAAAAGGAACCCCUUCUUUUUGUUUUUUGGGAAUCUCAAGCUCAAUUACUUCAAUCUUGAUUCACCAAGGUAACUUCUUUGUCUUAAUCUUAAUGCCCUUUGUGUUAGAUUUGCUUUCACCCCAUGUUUCAAGAUUUAGAUUUGCUUCAUUUGUGAUAAAGUUAAGGCCUUUACUUGUGUUGUUUACAAGAGUUAGUACAUGAGAAUGUGUGGACAUGUUUUGCGUACUGUAUUGAGGUUUGGUAUGUAACUAAUUGAUUAGUUGACUUGUCUUAGUUAAUUGUAUCUGUUUGAUGUGUCUUGCUGUAAGAUUCUAAUCAAGUGGAUGUUCAAACAUUAGUCCCUUUGAUUAAGACUGCUACCAACUUUUAAUUGUAGACAACUUUGUAUAUGUUGCAAGUUUCUAGAGUCUCAAGAAGGUUUUGGUAGAAUGACAUUAAUUUGUUUGCAAUUGAAUUGUUUUGCAGAUAUUUGACAUUUUUUUUUGGAUCGAGAAGGCUAUGGGUUGAUUUCGCAGAAACCUGAGAUUUCGGAGGACAAUUUAGUUUUGUUAUUAGGUUAAUGAAAUGGCAUCCGGGGAUUUAAAUGCACAAUUAAAUAAGAAAGUUUUAGGCAGUCAUCUAUGGGUGGUCAUUUGCAUAGGGGUCAGUGCGUUUAUAGUAUUGAUUCUGUGUAUCUUAUCUUUGUGGGUCACAUGUCGAAAAAGAUCUAAGAGGACCAAUAAGAAGUACAAUAACCCUCAAAUACCUUUUGUCUCUAAAGAUAUCAGGGUUGACAGUGUAGGGGUCCAAAAUUUGAAUGAUCAUCCAGAAAGGUUAGUUGUCACAGUUCCUGAUAAAUCAAGUGAUAAGACUUCUGAGAACUUGUUAGCGCACCUAGGUAGAAGUAAAUCAAGUGAUGCUGAUAGCCAGUGCAGCUCGUUGUAUAAUCAAGAGAGGCCCUACAGUUCACAAUCAGGUGAAGAAGGGAGUUCUGGUACGGUUCGAAAGCAGCCCUCGUAUGUAACAGCUUCUCCUUUAAUUGGCUUGCCAGAAAUGUCACAUCUUGGUUGGGGUCAUUGGUUUACUCUUAGAGAUCUUCAGCUUGCAACAAAUCGUUUUUCAGCUGAAAAUGUGAUCGGGGAGGGCGGGUAUGGGGUUGUUUAUCAUGGAACGCUAGUCAAUGGAACUGAAGUAGCAGUGAAGAAGCUUCUAAACAAUCUGUGAGUACAAAUUAACAAACGUGCAAUUUGGAAAAUCACUCUCAAGUCUCGACUCUAUGGUUGCUUCAUUGCAUAUUCUAUUAUAAUCAUCUCGUAUUGUUUUCUGUAGUGGGCAGGCUGAGAGAGAAUUUAGAGUUGAAGUGGAGGCUAUAGGUCAUGUUCGGCAUAAGAAUCUUGUUCGACUUCUUGGCUAUUGUGUGGAAGGGGUUCACAGGUAAGCUUCAAGCUUUUUACUUAUCAGUUAGUUUCUGAAAUGAUCCAAAAAAUGUACUUAAAGUUUGUCUUGUUACUCAGAUAUGUAUAUGCCCUAUAAAAAGUAAACAAGAAUAGUUGAGUUGCGAGUCAGUCAGUGUACUUCUCUGUCAGGAUGGUCCACCUUACUUCUAUUUUGAUCUAACAACUUUGUUUUUCUUUCUUAUUGCAGGAUGCUGGUUUAUGAAUAUAUGAACAAUGGCAACUUAGAACAAUGGCUUCAUGGGGCCAUGCGUGAACGUGGAAGCUUUACUUGGGAUGCCCGUAUGAAGGUCCUUCUUGGCACUGCAAAAGCGUAAGUUAAUUAUGCUCGAGUUGCUUGAACAUUGAUGUUUUUUCUUUUCAUGUACAUAUUAUAUAGUCUUCCUUGUCUGCCUAAUUACUUCCAUCAAUAUCUUUUACUUCCAUUAGGACCUUGUAAAUUUAUUAUCAGUUAUCAAUCAUCUGAGUGUUACAGUCAGUGUAAUUAUCUGCAUGUAAAAUUUACUUUGCUGAUCUUAUCAUGUUGUUUUGCUUGUAACCAUGUGAAUACUUGUUUUCUAUGUGGUUCUGCAGUCUUGCCUACUUGCACGAAGCUAUUGAACCUAAAGUCAUUCAUCGAGAUAUAAAAUCGAGCAAUAUCCUGAUUGAUCGUGAAUUCAAUUCCAAAGUUUCUGACUUUGGAUUGGCCAAGCUCUUGGAUUCAGGAGAAAGUCAUAUAACUACCAGAGUCAUGGGAACAUUUGGGUAUGUACGCCCUUUUCUAAUACACAUGUCUGCUAGCCGUUGAGUAAGAAAUUUAAAUUUAUCAUACGGUAUGGUGUCAAACAUCAGUAUCUUCUGUAAUUUCCAGCUAUGUGGCUCCAGAGUAUGCUAACACUGGCUUGCUAAAUGAAAAGAGUGACAUCUAUAGUUUUGGGGUUCUCCUUCUCGAGGCAAUUACCGGAAGGGACCCGGUGGACUAUAGCCGGCCCUCCAAUGAGGUACGAAGGCCGUACCAGUUAUUCUUUUGAUUUUGACUAGUUUAUCUGACUGUCUAUUCAUCUACUUCUAGUUUGUUGGAGUAAAUAUAAAAAUUCACAUGUAGAGUGUCUAUAGUUGCACCUCUAAAAUUCCUAUUUGUGUUUUUGAUAUUUUAGAUUGUUAAAAUAGAAUAAAUGAUGUGCAAUCUUCCUACAGAUUUCUUACAGACCUGUAGAGGUUCGACAAAUUUAGUCAUCCAUAAGAUGUUGGCUAAAAUUAUAGACAAUAGCUGGGUAUGAUUGGACCAUGAGUUUUUCGAGCUGUUGGCUAAAAGUUUGUAUUUUUAAUAUAUCAACUCAUGUUUUAGCUAAGAGGUUUCAAUGGUUGGAGAUGCUCUAAGAGCAUCUCCAAUAAGUUCUUAAAUAGGCUUCUAACUCAAAAUUUAAAGAGUAUGAUAAAAAAAAUGAGCUCCAAGAGACUGGCUCUUAAAAAACUUAAGAGCCUCUUCUCUCCCCUCUAUUUUAAGAGUCAUGUACUGACUCUUAACUUGUUUUUAAUAAUAAAAAAUGGGAUAAAUAUCAAUGUCAUCACUCAUUUGGUUCAAAUAUAUCAAAUUACUCACUCAUUUGAAAAUUGACUCAAUUUAGUCACUCACUUGUAAUUUUGUAUCAAAAAAAUCACUCUAUCGUUAGUCGAAAUUCUUAAAACUAUUAUAUUUUGAGUUUCUCACAUUUUUUUUUAUAAAUGAUAUUACAUCCAAGUGAAAGAUUCCGAGUUAUAGUAUUUUAGAUAAUAUUUUUAGAUUUUUAAAACUUUAUCAACUAUUUAUUUUUAAUUUUUUGAUUAUUUUAUUUGAUUUAAAUAAAAAAAUAGUAGAUAAAUUUUAAAAAUCUAAAAAUAUUAUCUAAAAUACUAGAACUUAGAAUCUUUCAUUUGGAUGUAAUAUCAUUUAUAAAAAAUGUGAGAAACUCAAUAUAUAAUAUUUUUAAGAAUUUCGAAUAAUGAUGGAGUGAUAUUUUUGAUAUAAAAUUAUAAGUGACUGACUAAAUUGAGUCAAUUUUCAAAUGAGUGAGUAAUUUGAUAUAUUUUAACCAAACGAGUGAUGACAUUGAUAUUUAUCCCAAUAAAAAAUUCAUUCCCUCCACUACAUUAAUUUGAAUCUUUGACAUAAUGGAUUUAGAUAAGAAUAAAAUAUAGGAUAUAGAGAGCAUUGUUGGAGUAUCAAUUUUAAAACUACACUAUAUUACUAAAAAUUAUAUUUUUUAUAUUAUAUUUAGUCUCCGGAGGCUCUCGGACUCUAACCCACUCAAAUAAUGAUACUAGGAAAAUACAAGCAUGUAUAUCUCAACAUUUACUUUAAAGAUUAGAAAUUUGUCCCAACACCUUUAAUAAAAUUUGUACAGUACUCAUUCUCGAGGGCCCACUUUGAGGGCAUCCUUUCUUCUUCUACUUCCAAACUACGCCUCCUCACCUUCUGAGUUGUUUUCUUCCCCUCUGCAUUGCAUAAUUCAUUAUGCUUUGCAGAGCCCAUUUGCUCAAAAAGGAACCCCUUCUUUUUGUUUUUUGGGAAUCUCAAGCUCAAUUACUUCAAUCUUGAUUCACCAAG